UACGAAGGGGGGCUAGCGUUGCUCGGAAUCACUGGGCGUAAAGCGCACGUAGGCGGCUUUCUAAGUCAGGGGUGAAAUCCUGGAGCUCAACUCCAGAACUGCCUUUGAUACUGGAGAGCUUGAGUCCGGGAGAGGUGAGUGGAACUCCGAGUGUAGAGGUGAAAUUCGUAGAUAUUCGGAAGAACACCAGUGGCGAAAGCGAACUCACUGGACCGCUCCUGACACUGAGGUGCGAGAGCUAGGGGAGCAAACAGGGAUUAAGAAACC
rnacentral:rRNA from 1 species